CGUGAGCUUCGGGUGUUACCAACUUUCGUGACUUGACGGGCGGUGUGUACAAGGCCCGGGAACGUAUUCACCGCAGCGUUGCUGAUCUGCGAUUACUAGCGACUCCGACUUCAUGGGGUCGAGUUGCAGACCCCAAUCCGAACUGAGACCGGCUUUCUGGGAUUCGCUCCACCUUACGGUAUCGCAGCCCUUUGUACCGGCCAUUGUAGCAUGCGUGAAGCCCAAGACAUAAGGGGCAUGAUGAUUUGACGUCAUCCCCGCCUUCCUCCGAGUUGACCCCGGCAGUCUCCCAUGAGUCCCCGGCAUAACCCGCUGGCAACAUGGGACGAGGGUUGCGCUCGUUGCGGGACUUAACCCAACAUCUCACGACACGAGCUGACGACACCAUGCACCACCUGUGCACCGACCUUGCGGAACUACCAUCUCUGGCAGCGUCCGGUGCAUGUCAAGCCUUGGUAAGGUUCUUCGCGUUGCAUCGAAUUAAUCCGCAUGCUCCGCCGCUUGUGCGGGCCCCCGUCAAUUCCUUUGAGUUUUAGCCUUGCGGCCGUACUCCCCAGGCGGGGCACUUAAUGCGUUAGCUGCGGCACGGAACUCGUGGAAUGAGCCCCACACCUAGUGCCCAACGUUUACGGCAUGGACUACCAGGGUAUCUAAUCCUGUUCGCUCCCCAUGCUUUCGCUCCUCAGCGUCAGUUGCGGCCCAGAGACCUGCCUUUCGCCAUCGGUGUUCCUCCUGAUAUCUGCGCAUUCCACCGCUACNCCAGGAAUUUCCAGUCUCCCCUACCGCAAUCUAGUCUGCCCGUACCCGAUGCACGCCCCAG
rnacentral:rRNA from 1 species